rnacentral:rRNA from 1 species
AACGAACGCUGGCGGCAUGCCUAACACAUGCAAGUCGAACGAGAACUUCGGGUCUAGUGGCGCACGGGUGAGUAACGCGUGGGAACCUGCCCUUAGGUUCGGAAUCACUCACAGAAAGGGGUGCUAAUACCGGAUAAUGUCUUCGCACCAAAGAUUUAUCGCCUUUGGAUGGGCACGCGUUGGAUUAGCUAGUUGGUAGGGUAAAAGCCUACCAAGGCGACGAUCCAUAGCUGGUCUGAGAGGAUGAUCAGCCACACUUGGACUGAGACACGGCCCAGACUGCUAGGGGAGGCAGCAGUGUGGAACAUUGUACGAUGGGCGAAAGCCUAAUCAAGCAGUGCCGCGUGAGAGAUGAAGGCCUUAGUGUUGCAAAGCUCUUUUACCCGAGAUGAUAAUGACAGUACCGGGAGAAUAAGCUCCGGCUAACUCCGUG